AGAGUUUGAUCCUGGCUCAGGAUGAACGCUAGCGGGAGGCCUAACACAUGCAAGCCGAGCGGUAUUUCUUCUUCGGAAGAGAGAGAGCGGCGUACGGGUGCGUAACACGUGUGCAACCUACCUUUAUCUGGGGGAUAGCCUUUCGAAAGGAAGAUUAAUACCCCAUAAUAUAAUGAUUGGCAUCAAUUAUUAUUGAAAACUCCGGUGGAUAGAGAUGGGCACGCGCAAGAUUAGAUAGUUGGUGAGGUAACGGCUCACCAAGUCUGUGAUCUUUAGGGGUCCUGAGAGGGAGAUCCCCCACACUGGUACUGAGACACGGACCAGACUCCUACGGGAGGCAGCAGUGAGGAAUAUUGGACAAUGGGUGAGAGCCUGAUCCAGCCAUCCCGCGUGAAGGACGACGGCCCUAUGGGUUGUAAACUUCUUUUGUACAGGGAUAAACCUACCCUCGUGAGGGUAGCUGAAGGUACUGUACGAAUAAGCACCGGCUAACUCCGUGCCAGCAGCCGCGGUAAUACGGAGGGUGCAAGCGUUAUCCGGAUUUAUUGGGUUUAAAGGGUCCGUAGGCGGGCCCGUAAGUCAGUGGUGAAAUCUCGCAGCUUAACUGUGAAACUGCCAUUGAUACUGCGGGUCUUGAGUAAAUUUGAAGUGGCUGGAAUAAGUAGUGUAGCGGUGAAAUGCAUAGAUAUUACUUAGAACACCAAUUGCGAAGGCAGGUCACUAAGAUUUAACUGACGCUGAUGGACGAAAGCGUGGGGAGCGAACAGGAUUAGAUACCCUGGUAGUCCACGCCGUAAACG
rnacentral:rRNA from 1 species